CAAUAGCGUAUAUUAAAGUUGUUGCAGUUAAAAAGCUCGUAGUUGGAUUUGUGGCGUACGGUGUGUUCCGGGCACUUGUUGUCUGAGUAACCUGCUGUUGCCAUCCUUGGGUGGAACCUGUGUGGCAUUAGGUUGUCGUGCAGGGGAUGCCCAUCAUUUACUGUGAAAAAAUUAGAGUGUUCAAAGCAGGCUUAUGCCGUUGAAUAUAUUAGCAUGGAAUAAUGAGAUAGGACUUUUUUGCUAUUUUGUUGGUUUGCGCAAAGAGGUAAUGAUUAAUAGGGACAGUUGGGGGUAUUCGUAUUCCAUUUUCAGAGGUGAAAUUCUUGGAUUUUUGGAAGACGAACUACUGCGAAAGCAUUUACCAAGGAUGUUUUCAUUAA
rnacentral:rRNA from 1 species